rnacentral:rRNA from 1 species
UUAGAGUUUGAUCCUGGCUCAGGGCGAACGCUGGCGGCGUGCCUAACACAUGCAAGUCGAACGCGAAAGGCUCCUUCGGGGGCCCGGUAGCGUGGCGAACGGGUGAGUAACACGUGGGUAACCUACCCCUGGGUGGGGAAUAACCCUGGGAAACUGGGGCUAAUACCGCAUAAGGCCGAUGGGACGCAUGUCCUAUCGGUGAAAGCGGGGGACCCGAUGAGGGCCUCGCGCCUGGGGAGGGGCCCGCGGCCGAUUAGCUUGUUGGUGGGGUAAUGGCCUACCAAGGCGAUAAUCGGUAGCCGGUCUGAGAGGACGGCCGGCCACACUGGGACUGAGACACGGCCCAGACUCCUACGGGAGGCAGCAGUGGGGAAUCUUGGGCAAUGGGCGAAAGCCUGACCCAGCGACGCCGCGUGAGGGAGGAAGCCCUUCGGGGUGUAAACCUCAUAAGCCGGGGACGAAUAAGGCUGACCGAAUACGUCGGCCGAUGACGGUACCCGGCGUAAGGGACGGCUAACUACGUGCCAGCAGCCGCGGUAAUACGUAGGUCCCGAGCGUUGCCCGGAAUCACUGGGCGUAAAGCGCGGGUAGGCGGUUCGGUAAGUCGAACGUGAAAUCCCUGGGCUCAACCCAGGAACGGCGUUCGAGACUGCCGGACUCGAGGGCGGUAGAGGGCGCUGGAAUUCCCGGUGUAGCGGUGAAAUGCAUAG